rnacentral:tRNA from 1 species
GCCCGGGUGGUGGAAUGGUAGACACGAAGGACUUAAAAUCCUUUGCCGUAAGGCGUGUGGGUUCGACUCCCACCCCGGGUACCA